AUGGAUGGACUGGAAAAGCGAGGCAUGAUGGGACAGGACGAGGAGGCUCUCUGUACGUCAGCUUCUGAUGGCCUGGAGGAGGGCGAGGUGGAGGGUGAGACUCUGCUCAUUGUCGAAUCGGAGGACCAGGCGUCCGUGGACCUCUCGCAUGACCAGAGCGGUGACUCGCUGACCAGCGAUCCAGGCGAGGACACAGAGGGCACCUGGAGCGAGGACACCGCCUUCUACUGCGAAAAGUGUCGCAAGUGGAUCCCUGCUGCCCAGCUUCGAGGAGAGCAGCCCAGUUACCUGAAAGGAGACAACUUCUUUAAGUUCAUCUGCUCCGACUGUUCCGAUGACGGCAAGGAAAGUUUUGAGAGGAUGCGCCUCACGUGGCAGCAGGUGGUGAUGCUCGCCAUGUAUAACCUGUCUUUGGAGGGUACGGGCCGGCAAGGCUACUUCCGCUGGAAGGAGGACAUAUGCGCUUUCAUCAGCCGACACUGGACAUUUCUACUCGGCAGCAGGAAGAAGACCUCAACGUGGUGGAGCACAGUAGCGGGUUGUUUGUCUGUAGGGAGCCCAACAUUUUUCCGCUCGGGAGCGCAGGAGUUUGGCGAGCCUGGCUGGUGGAAGCUGGUCCAAAACCGACCUCCAACCCUUAGACCAGAGGGAGACAAAGUGUCCGGUACAUCCCUCAAGGUCAAAGCUACAUCGAAGCCUCCACCAGACCCCACCAUUACGGUGGAGGGGCUGCGGAAGCGAGGAGGGCGCAGUGCAGUGGAGAGCGCCAUGCGGCUGAAAGAGAAGCGGUCCCGCACACAGGAGGCCAAGGAGAUCCGGCGAGCACAGAGAGAGGCUGCUUCGUCAGUGCCACUCAGGCCGACCGGACGCUCUUUCACGCUGGAGAGGGGUGAGGUGGUGGACUUCGCAUCACUGAGUUCGUCAGACCGUACGUCACCAUCGCCGUCACCCUCGCCUGAUUUCUCUGCUCCUGGCACGCCUGCCUCGCACUCUGCCACACCUAGUCUGCUGUCGGAGGCAGACCUUGUACCGGAUGCCAUGCCCCCACAGGCGCUCUUUCACGAUGACGAAGAGCUAGACGGCGAGUGCGCAAUCGACCCAGGAAUCGAGUUUGCACCCCCGCCCCGGGGCCCAGCUGGCACGAUGUUCGCACGCAAAAAGCAGGAGCUUAUAAAACAGGAGCCAGAGAGUGAGGACGACGCAGAGGACAGCAGAGACGAAGGCAGAAAAGAGAAAAGCGAGCGCAGGAAGGACAAAGGUGAAGUCGGCCCAGCACCCACACCCCGCUACGCGCCUCUCAGCCUGUAUGAAGAGCGUAUGCUGCUACGGAGGUUGGAAGCAUGUCCCCAAGCGCUGGCUGUCACGCCACAGGCCAACCGACUGCACCGUAAACUCCUGGUUAGACAGGCUAAGCGUGAGCGUGGUCUCCCCCUGUUGGACGUCGACCAGGCUGUCAGCGCCACCCUCAGUUUGGUCGGCGGUGUGUACGGAGCACAGGUGUCCACGGUCAGUGAGAUGGGCAAGUACAGGAUGAACAGCCAGGAUCUGCGCAUACUCGACCGCUUUCAGGUCACGACAUCCAGCAAGAAGGGCGUGUUCCAGUCCAACGUCUCCUUCUGGCACAGACUCAUGGGCUCUGAUGCAUGUCUGGACCAAGACAUUAAGAGUCCUUACACAUCUAGAACUCUCAAACCUUACAUAAGGAGAGACUAUGAGACGAGGCCGCUGAAGAUGAGGCUGCUGGCUGAGAUCCGAUCACGUCCUCACAGGAACGACCCGUCCUGGGUCCCAGAACCCGAAUCACCCGUAGACUACUGCUACGUCCGACCCAACCACAUCCCUUCUGUCAACUCCAUGUGUCAGGAUAUGUUUUGGCCAGGUGUGGACCUGUCCGAGUGCUUGCAGUACCCAGAUUUCAGCGUCGUGGUGCUCUAUAAGAAGGUGGUGAUCGGAUUCGGCUUCAUGGUGCCGGACGUGAAAUAUAACGAAGCCUACAUCUCCUUCCUGCUGGUGCAUCCUGAGUGGAGGAGAGCCGGGAUCGCUACCUUCAUGAUUUACCAUCUGAUUCAGACGUGCAUGGGGAAGGACGUCACCCUUCACGUUUCCGCCAGCAACCCAGCCAUGCUGCUGUAUCAGAAGUUCGGCUUUAAGUCUGAGGAAUACAUCUUGGACUUCUAUGAUAAAUAUUACCCAGUGGACAGUAAAGAAUGCCGCCACGCGUUUUUCCUGCGGCUGAGACGCUAACCAACUUUCAACUGGACUGGGAUGUUGGCAGGAAAAGACAAUAUUAUAGAUGUGUAAAAGUUUUGGCGUUUAAGUAAAUGACACCAGAGAAUGGCAUUAGACACUAGUGAGCUACACACCUGUAAACGUUUUCUAACUGACUCACACCAGACAAACCGUUACCUGUGUGCGACAGGGAAAAGAAGGUUACAUUUCACACUGUGAGCUGCAUCUCUGUCAUAUGAUUUGGAGGCAGCUACUUUUGGAACAUUUCCUUUGUACAAGUAAUAACUUAUACCAAGAAUUUGCACUAAAGUCCAAAUAGUUUUUUUUACCAUUCCAACAAGUAUGAGAUCAUUUCUCUGCUGUUAUCUUGGGAUAUUAUUUGCAUGUCUGAAAAUAAUGAGCAAGCUAAAAAUCAGACCAAAUAAUGGUCCAAAAUAAACACUUCAAGCUAAAACAAGUUCAA